AAACAACAUACCCAGCCGAGUGUCCCACAGAAAGAACAUCAGGGAGGAAGGAGAGGGAAGGGAUGAGACACCCCAAGCGCAGGAUUCCAAAGAGCGGUUAAAGACCCUUUCUCCUGCGCGAGGACUCACAACAGCAGGACACCUGGGUGAGGAGAAGCCGGGGGUCUGUGGCCCGAGCCCCCACAAUCUUGGCGGGACAAAAGGCAGCCCCCCG